rnacentral:lncRNA from 1 species
UAGUGGUAGAGCACCUUUCUGGGCAUGCCUGAGGCCCUGGGUUUGACCCCUAGUACCCCCCACACACAAAAAAUCAGAUGUUUUCUCUAAUAAAUGUAUUUAUAAAUAUUUAUCCCAUUUAUGUAAAAUCUAAUUUAACCCCCUCCCCCCCUCCUUUUGGUACUUGGGAUUGAACUCAGGGGCACUCAACCACUGAGCCACAUCCCCAGCCCUUUUUUUUUACUUUAUUUAGAGACAGGGUCUCACUGAGUUGCUUAGGGCCUCACUAAGUUGCUGAGGCUGGCUUUGAACACACAAUCCUCUUGCCUCAGCCUUCUGAGCUGCUGGGAUUACAGGCUUGUGCCACUGCACCUGGCAAAUUUACCCAUUUUUAACAGCUCUUUUUAGAUUACCUACGAAAACCAAGAUAUCAGACAAUCAUAUUUAAUAUUUUUAUGGGGCAAUUAUUUAAUGAUACAAGAAAACAGUAUGUUAUGAAAUAAGCUGGUUAUAAGUAGUGAGUAGAGGAUGACUUCAUGUUUUUGUUGCUGUUAUUAGUUUUUAUUUCCAAAUAUUUUGAAAUUAUUGUUUUUUGUUAUUUUUAGAUAUACAUGACAGUAGAGUGAAUUUGAUAUAUCAUACAUACAUAUAGUAUAAAUUCCAUUUCCUGUGGUUGUACAUGAUGUGCAGUUACACUGGUUAUGUAUGCAUAUUUGGACAUAGGAAAGUUGUCUGAUUCAUUCUGUUGUCUUUCCCAUUCCCAUCUCCCCUCCCUUCCCUUUUCUUAUGCCUAUGAAAUUCUGUUCUCCUUACCCCUUAUUGUAUAUUAGCAUCCACAUAUUAGAGAGAACAUUUGACCUUUGUUUUUUUGAGACUGGUUCAUUUUGCUUAGCAUGAUAUUUUCCAGUUCCAUCCAUUUACUGGCAAAUGCCACUAUUUCAUUCUUCUUUAUAGCUGAGUAAUAUUCCAUUGUAUGUGAGUAUGUGUGUGUGUGUGUGUGUGUGUGUAUGUGUAUCACAUUUUCUUUAUCCAUUCUUCUGUUGAAGGGCACCUAGGUUAGUUUCGUAGCUUAGCUAUUGUGAAUUGAGCUGCUAUAAGCAUUGAUGUGGCUGUGUCACUAUAGUAUGCUGAUUUUUAAGUUCUUUUGAGUUAUUUAUAUAUCCUGGAAAUUAAUGCUCUGAGGUGGCAAAGAUUUUCUCCAAUUCUGUAGGCUCUUUCUGCACAUUCUUGAUUGUUUUCUUUGCUGUGAAGAAGCUUUUUAUUUUGAUACCAUCCCAUUUAUUGAUUCUUGAUUCUACUUCUUGCCCUUUUGGAAUCUUGUUGAGGAAUUCAGUUCCUAAGCUGACAUGGUGGUAGAGUUGGGCCUACAUUUUCUUCUAGUAGGUGUAGGGAUUUUGGUC